UAUAGUCACGCGCAGGCAGAACGAAGCAUCGUUUGAUCUCGUGAAGGCAAAUCUGAGCUCGGCGUCGGGAAGAUCCGUGAAGCUGUAUGUUGUUAACUUGCAUUUUAAACUUUUGGGGAAGACCAUAGGAACGUGACUGAGCCUGCUGGCGCCGUGUGUGUGCGAGAAGCCCACAUUUACCGAGGCACGGUUGGUUUUCCGUUUAAAUACUCUGUAAAUGCCGGCAGUUAUGGGAGAGUGGGGGGCUUUCUGAAUCAGCAGUGUGGCGUGGCAGAUAUUGUGUGAGCCCCUGGGGAUAUCUGGAAGUACUACAACGUGAAGUUGCGCUGUGCAUCCCACCUGUUACAGUUAACCGGUCUGUACGGCCAGCAACAAUAGCCACUUUUUUUUUUUUCUUCCCCUUUUUUUUUUAUAUCUCUGGUUACAUCAUUUUAAAUAGUUAAUAAAGGAAUAUUUUAGUAUAUUAUUGGGAGGCUUUUUGACCCAGGGCAGCCCUUAAUAUUCUACCCCUGGUUAAUCUGGUGCCUUUUUAAUUUAGGAAGGACGAUUAGGAAGAGCACGCUGAAAGGUAGAGGAUAUUCAGCCCAUUUAAGCCGGGUUUCUGUCCCACCUAUAUUGAAGGUUGCAGUGUCACGUUUGGUUUAUUUUGAUUUGAUUAGUGUGGGUGAUUGGAAGUAUUUUUAUGUGACUUUUUUUUCAUCAUCUACUUAAUUAAUUUAAUUGUAGUGUGUAAUUUAUUAUGGGGGGUUGAACCCAGGCUGGUAUUGUGGUUCCUUUUUCUGCGUGGUUAUUCUACCAUUAGUAGUUAAUAAUCCAUCGAGGCCCAGAUUGUGCUAGGGUGACGUGAUUUUAGAAGUGGGUCUGAUAUCGCUAUGAUGUGUGCAUCUGUCAAAUCUUCUAUCCUUAAUAAACCUGUUAAUAUACCAGCCUC